rnacentral:rRNA from 1 species
AUGAAGGGGAGGACGCUUUUCAAGAGCCCUCUCCCCAGCAACCACGUCUCCGACGCCUCCAGCUCGGCCGGCGCCGGCGCCACCCACCGCCUGUACCAAGUUUGGAGGGGAAGGAAUAAAUUUCUUUGUGGCGGGCGGUGCAUCUUUGGCCCUGACGCCAACUCCAUCUAUCUAUCUGUGUCUCUCAUCAUGACGCCGCUCGCGCUCUUCGUGGCCUUCGUCUCGUUCCGCCUCGCCGAGCUCAUGGGGAAGCCGCUCGGCCCCUUCAUUCCAAGGACAGCCAUGGCCGUGGGCGCAUUCGAUCUUAUAGUGUUGGUGCUCACGUCAGGGCGAGAUCCUGGGAUCGUCCCGCGGAACACGAAGCCGCCGGAUCCCGAAGACCUCCAGCUAGACGGCAUGGCGUCCCCAAUGGCCGGAGCGCCAUCGUCGGGGACACUUCCGCCGACGCGUGACGUGUACGUGAACGGCAUGGUGGUGAAGGUGAAGUACUGCCACACGUGCAUGCUGUACAGGCCGCCGCGCUGCUCUCACUGCUCUGUCUGCAACAAUUGCGUGGAGCGCUUCGACCACCACUGCCCCUGGGUCGGCCAGUGCAUCGGCAAGAGAAAUUACAGGUUCUUCUUCAUGUUCAUCUCGUCGACGACGUUUCUUUGCCUCUACGUGUUCGUGUUCUGCUGGGUGAACCUGAUCCUCAUCACGCGGAAGUACGGGUGCAGCCUGGGCGGCGCCAUCGUGGAGUCGCCGGUUUCGGGAUUCCUCAUCUUCUACACCUUCAUCACGUCCUGGUUCGUGGGCGGGCUCACGGCGUUCCACACCUACCUCGCCAGCACCAACCAGACCACGUACGAGAACUUCCGGUACCGGUACGAGGGAAAGUCCAACCCGUACGACCGCGGCGCGGCGCGGAACCUCGUCGAGAUCUUCCUGUCGCCGAUCCCCGCGAGCAAGAAUGACUUCCGGCAGAUGGUCGUCGUCGACCCCGACACGCUCUUGUACGGCCCGCCCUCGAUGGCCUACUCCUACUCCUUCGGCAUGCUGUCGUCGUCCAAGAAGAGCUUCAACACCCAAGCCAGCCUCAGCUUCGACAUGGGCAAGCCGAGCUUUGACCUCGGAGCUGGAUACAGCGUCAAGCGCACCAGCAUCGGCUCCUCCAACUUCGGCGACAUAUACAAUCCUACCGCCGAUGGCGUGGAUGGCGCGGCGCACCAGCAGCCGCGGCACAACAUCUUCGGUGGCGGGAGGUUUCAGGGAAGCAAGAAGGUGGCGGAAGACUCGGAGUCGGUCGUGACCGACGUCACCACGGCGCGCUACAGCGUUGCCGGCUGA